CCUACGGGAGGCUGCAGUGGGGAAUAUUGGACAAUGGGCGAAAGCCUGAUCCAGCCAUGCCGCGUGUGUGAAGAAGGCCUUCGGGUUGUAAAGCACUUUCAGUGGGGAAGAAAGCCUUGGGGCUAAUACCCUCGAGGAAGGACAUCACCCACAGAAGAAGCACCGGCUAACUCCGUGCCAGCAGCCGCGGUAAUACGGAGGGUGCGAGCGUUAAUCGGAAUUACUGGGCGUAAAGCGCGCGUAGGCGGUCUGAUAAGCCGGUUGUGAAAGCCCCGGGCUCAACCUGGGAACGGCAUCCGGAACUGUCAGGCUAGAGUGCAGGAGAGGAAGGUAGAAUUCCCGGUGUAGCGGUGAAAUGCGUAGAGAUCGGGAGGAACACCAGUGGCGAAGGCGGCCUUCUGGACUGACACUGACGCUGAGGUGCGAAAGCGUGGGUAGCAAACAGGAUUAGAUACCCCAGUAGUC
rnacentral:rRNA from 1 species